UACGAAGGGGGCUAGCGUUGUUCGGAAUUACUGGGCGUAAAGCGCACGUAGGCGGCUCUUUAAGUCGGGGGUGAAAUCCUGGAGCUCAACUCCAGAACUGCCUUCGAUACUGUAGAGCUUGAGUUCGGGAGAGGUGAGUGGAACUGCGAGUGUAGAGGUGAAAUUCGUAGAUAUUCGGAAGAACACCAGUGGCGAAGGCGGCUCACUGGUCCGGUACUGACGCUGAGGUGCGAAAGCGUGGGGAGCAAACAGG
rnacentral:rRNA from 1 species